rnacentral:rRNA from 1 species
UACCAGCACCCCGAGUGGUCGGGACGAUUAUUGGGCCUAAAGCAUCCGUAGCCGGUUCUACAAGUCUUCCGUUAAAUCCACCUGCUUAACAGAUGGGCUGCGGAGGAUACUAUAGAGCUAGGAGGCGGGAGAGGCAAGCGGUACUUAGUGGGUAGGGGUAAAAUCCGUUGAUCCAUUGAAGACCACCAGUGGCGAAGGCGGCUUGCCAGAACGCACUCGACGGUGAGGCGCGAAAGCUAGGGGAGCAAACGGG